rnacentral:rRNA from 1 species
UACGGAGGAUCCAAGCGUUAUCCGGAUUAUUGGGUUUAAAGGGUGCGUAGGCGGCUUAUUAAGUCAGGGGUGAAAGACGGUGGCUCAACCAUCGCAGUGCCCUUGAUACUGAUGAGCUUGAAUACACUUGAGGUAGGCGGAAUGUGACAAGUAGCGGUGAAAUGCAUAGAUAUGUCACAGAACACCAAUUGCGAAGGCAGCUUACUAAGGUGCAAUUGACGCUGAGGCACGAAAGCGUGGGGAUCAAACAGG